GCUGGUUCAGGAUGAAACCUUAUCUGAAUGGACAUCUAUGGAUGAUAAAUGCGGAUAUGGGACUGAGACCUGCU